UACGGAGGGUGCGAGCGUUGUCCGGAAUCACUGGGCGUAAAGGGCGCGUAGGUGGCGACUCAAGUCAACGGUGAAAGCUCGACGCUCAACGUCGAGUCGGCCGUCGAAACUGGGACGCUUGAGCACUGUAGAGGCAGAUGGAAUUCCGGGUGUAGCGGUGGAAUGCGUAGAGAUCCGGAAGAACACCGGUGGCGAAGGCGACUUCCUGGCCUGUUCUUGACGCUGAGGCGCGAAAGCUAGGGGAGCAAACGGG
rnacentral:rRNA from 1 species